rfam:Acyrthosiphon pisum strain LSR1 Contig36988, whole genome shotgun sequence.
AAAACGGUCUUUCUCAAGGCCACAUAUAAACAGAUAAAACAAGCG